CGCGUAGGCGGACUAUUAAGUCAGGGGUGAAAUCCCGGGGCUCAACCCCGGAACUGCCUUUGAUACUGGUAGUCUUGAGUUCGAGAGAGGUGAGUGGAAUUCCGAGUGUAGAGGUGAAAUUCGUAGAUAUUCGGAGGAACACCAGUGGCGAAGGCGGCUCACUGGCUCGAUACUGACGCUGAGGUGCGAAAGUGUGGGGAGCAAACA
rnacentral:rRNA from 1 species